UACAGAGGGGGCAAGCGUUGUUCGGAAUUACUGGGCGGAAAGGGCGCGUAGGCGGCCUGUUAAGUCGAACGUGAAAUCCCCGGGCUCAACCCGGGAACUGCGUCCGAUACUGGCAGGCUUGAAUCCGGGAGAGGGAUGCGGAAUUCCAGGUGUAGCGGUGAAAUGCGUAGAUAUCUGGAGGAACACCGGUGGCGAAGGCGGCAUCCUGGACCGGCAUUGACGCUGAGGCGCGAAAGCGUGGGGAGCAAACAGG
rnacentral:rRNA from 1 species